rnacentral:rRNA from 1 species
CGGAGGGUGCAAGCGUUAUUCGGAUUCACUGGGUUUAAAGGGUGCGUAGGUGGCUUUGUAAGUCAGUGGUGAAAUCUCGGAGCUUAACUCCGAAACUGCCAUUGAUACUGCUUAGCUUGAAUCAAGUAGAGGUGGAUGGAAUAUUACAUGUAGCGGUGAAAUGCUUAGAUAUGUAAUAGAACACCGAUUGCGAAGGCAGUUCACUAUGCUUGUAUUGACACUGAGGCACGAAAGCGUGGGGAUCAAACAGGAUUAGAUACCCUGGUAGUCCACGCCCUAAACGAUGUAAACUCGACAUUAGCGAUAUACAGUUAGUGUCCAAGCGAAAGCGUUAAGUUUACCACCUGGGAAGUACGACCGCAAGGUUG